UACGGAGGGUGCAAGCGUUAUCCGGAUUCACUGGGUUUAAAGGGUGCGUAGGCGGGUAGGUAAGUCAGUGGUGAAAUCCUGGAGCUCAACUCCAGAACUGCCAUUGAUACUAUUUAUCUUGAAUAUUGUGGAGGUAAGCGGAAUAUGUCAUGUAGCGGUGAAAUGCUUAGAUAUGACAUAGAACACCUAUUGCGAAGGCAGCUUACUACGCAUAUAUUGACGCUGAGGCACGAAAGCGUGGGGAUCAAACAGG
rnacentral:rRNA from 1 species